AAAAUAAAAACCUAAAAAAGCCAUGAUAAUAAAUAAUGGUAAUUAUUAGUAUUGUUAUUAUUAUUAUCUGGAAUCUGCCCUCCAUUGGUUCAUCUACUAUUUUCUUCUCUCACUCUUAUAACUAUCAAUAUCAUACGACAUCAAUUAAGAAAAUGGAAGCAAAAUUGGAAGAAAGCGGAUGGAAGAUUAUAAAUUAGAAGCUCUCGAAGACAAUGUUGUUUUGGCAUUCAAGCUCAAGGCAGUAAGAUUAAAUUGUUCUCAAAUGUUUUACAUUCAUGUUU